rnacentral:rRNA from 1 species
CAGCACCUCAAGUGGUCAGGGAUGAUUAUUGGGCCUAAAGCAUCCGUAGCCUGCUUUGUUAGUUUUCGGUUAAAUCCAUGCGCUCAACGCAUGGGCUGCCGGGAAUACUGCAAAGCUAGGGAGUGGGAGAGGUAGACGGUACUCGGUAGGAAGGGGUAAAAUCCUUUGAUCUAUUGAUGACCACCUGUGGCGAAGGCGGUCUACCAGAACACGUCCGACGGUGAGGGAUGAAAGCUGGGGGAGCAAACCGGAUUAGAUACCCGGGUAGUCCCAGCUGUAAACUAUGCAAACUCGGUGAUGCAUUGGCUUGAUGCCAAUGCAGUGCCGCAGGGAAGCCGUUAAGUUUGCCGCCUGGGAAGUACGUACGCAAGUAUG